UACGGAAGGUCCGGGCGUUAUCCGGAUUUAUUGGGUUUAAAGGGAGCGUAGGCCGUUUGGUAAGCGUGUUGUGAAAUGUCGGGGCUCAACCUGGGCAUUGCAGCGCGAACUGCCAGACUUGAGUGCGUAGGAAGUAGGCGGAAUUCGUCGUGUAGCGGUGAAAUGCUUAGAUAUGACGAAGAACUCCGAUUGCGAAGGCAGCCUGCUGUAGCGCAACUGACGCUGAAGCUCGAAAGCGUGGGUAUCGAACAGG
rnacentral:rRNA from 1 species